GAUGAACGCUGGCGGCGUGCCUAAUACAUGCAAGUCGAGCGAACGGACGAGAAGCUUGCUUCUCUGAUGUUAACGGCGGACGGGUGAGUAACACGUGGAUAACCUACCUAUAAGACUGGGAUAGCUUCGGGAAACCGUAGCUAAUACCGGAUAAUAUUUUGAACCGCAUGGUUCAAAAGUGAAAGACGGUCUUGCUGUCACUUAUAGAUGGAUCCGCGCUGCAUUAGCUAGUUGGUAAGGUAACGGCUUACCAAGGCAACGAUGCAUAGCCGACCUGAGAGGGUGAUCGGCCACACUGGAACUGAGACACGGUGCAGACUCCUACGGGAGGCAGGAGUAGGGAAUCUUCCGCAAUGAGCGAAAGCGUGACGGAGCAACGCCGCGUGAGUGAUGAAGGUCUUCGGAUCGUAAAACUCUGUUAUUAGGGAAUAACAUAUGUGUAAGUACCUGUGCACAUCUUGACGGUACCUAAUCAGAAAGCCACGGCUAACUACGUG
rnacentral:rRNA from 1 species